AGAUUGAACGCUGGCGGCAUGCUUUACACAUGCAAGUCGAACGGUAACAGGCCGCAAGGUGCUGACGAGUGGCGAACGGGUGAGUAAUGUAUCGGAACGUGCCCAGUCGUGGGGGAUAACGCAGCGAAAGCUGCGCUAAUACCGCAUACGAUCUAUGGAUGAAAGCGGGGGACCGUAAGGCCUCGCGCGAUUGGAGCGGCCGAUAUCAGAUUAGGUAGUUGGUGGGGUAAAGGCUCACCAAGCCAACGAUCUGUAGCUGGUCUGAGAGGACGACCAGCCAC
rnacentral:rRNA from 1 species